rnacentral:rRNA from 1 species
AAUUCCUACGGGGGGCAGCAGUGGGGAAUAUUGGGCAAUGGGCGCAAGCCUGACCCAGCAACGCCGCGUGAAGGAAGAAGGCUUUCGGGUUGUAAACUUCUUUUCUCAGGGACGAAGCAAGUGACGGUACCUGAGGAAUAAGCCACGGCUAACUACGUGCCAGCAGCCGCGGUAAUACGUAGGUGGCAAGCGUUAUCCGGAUUUACUGGCCGUAAAGGGCGAGUAGGCGGGAAAGCAAGUCAGAUGUGAAAACCAAGGGCUCAAACUGUGGCCUGCAUGUGAAACUGUUUUUAUUGAGUACUGGA